UACGGAGGAUCCGAGCGUUAUCCGGAUUUCUUGGGUUUAAAGGGUGCGUAGGCGGCCUAUUAAGUCAGGGGUGAAAGACGGUAGCUUAACUAUCGCAGUGCCUUUGAUACUGAUAGGCUUGAAUGUACUUGAGGUAGGCGGAAUGUGACAAGUAGCGGUGAAAUGCAUAGAUAUGUCACAGAACACCAAUUGCGAAGGCAGCUUACUAAAGUAUGAUUGACGCUGAGGCACGAAAGCGUGGGGAUCAAACAGG
rnacentral:rRNA from 1 species